rnacentral:rRNA from 2 species
UAUACAUGCAGUCGACGAACUCUGGUAUUGAUUGGUGCUUGCAUCAUGAUUUACAUUUGAGUGAGUGGCGAACUGGUGAGUAACACGUGGGAAACCUGCCCAGAAGCGGGGGAUAACACCUGGAAACAGAUGCUAAUACCGCAUAACAACUUGGACCGCAUGGUCCGAGCUUGAAAGAUGGCUUCGGCUAUCACUUUUGGAUGGUCCCGCGGCGUAUUAGCUAGAUGGUGGGGUAACGGCUCACCAUGGCAAUGAUACGUAGCCGACCUGAGAGGGUAAUCGGCCACAUUGGGACUGAGACACGGCCCAAACUCCUACGGGAGGCAGCAGUAGGGAAUCUUCCACAAUGGACGAAAGUCUGAUGGAGCAACGCCGCGUGAGUGAAGAAGGGUUUCGGCUCGUAAAACUCUGUUGUUAAAGAAGAACAUAUCUGAGAGUAACUGUUCAGGUAUUGACGGUAUUUAACCAGAAAGCCACGGCUAACUACGUGCCAGCAGCCGCGGUAAUACGUAGGUGGCAAGCGUUGUCCGGAUUUAUUGGGCGUAAAGCGAGCGCAGGCGGUUUUUUAAGUCUGAUGUGAAAGCCUUCGGCUCAACCGAAGAAGUGCAUCGGAAACUGGGAAACUUGAGUGCAGAAGAGGACAGUGGAACUCCAUGUGUAGCGGUGAAAUGCGUAGAUAUAUGGAAGAACACCAGUGGCGAAGGCGGCUGUCUGGUCUGUAACUGACGCUGAGGCUCGAAAGUAUGGGUAGCAAACAGGAUUAGAUACCCUGGUAGUCCAUACCGUAAACGAUGAAUGCUAAGUGUUGGAGGGUUUCCGCCCUUCAGUGCUGCAGCUAACGCAUUAAGCAUUCCGCCUGGGGAGUACGGCCGCAAGGCUGAAACUCAAAGGAAUUGACGGGGGCCCGCACAAGCGGUGGAGCAUGUGGUUUAAUUCGAAGCUACGCGAAGAACCUUACCAGGUCUUGACAUACUAUGCAAAUCUAAGAGAUUAGACGUUCCCUUCGGGGACAUGGAUACAGGUGGUGCAUGGUUGUCGUCAGCUCGUGUCGUGAGAUGUUGGGUUAAGUCCCGCAACGAGCGCAACCCUUAUUAUCAGUUGCCAGCAUUAAGUUGGGCACUCUGGUGAGACUGCCGGUGACAAACCGGAGGAAGGUGGGGAUGACGUCAAAUCAUCAUGCCCCUUAUGACCUGGGCUACACACGUGCUACAAUGGAUGGUACAACGAGUUGCGAACUCGCGAGAGUAAGCUAAUCUCUUAAAGCCAUUCUCAGUUCGGAUUGUAGGCUGCAACUCGCCUACAUGAAGUCGGAAUCGCUAGUAAUCGCGGAUCAGCAUGCCGCGGUGAAUACGUUCCCGGGCCUUGUACACACCGCCCGUCACACCAUGAGAGUUUGUAACACCCAAAGUCGGUGGGGUAACCUCUAGGAACCAGCCGCUA